UAUCAUAAAUAAAAAAAAAAAAAUAAAAAAACAAAAAACAAAAAAAACUGAACAUAUAGCCACCGUGAAAGCCCAGUACUUGUGACCCUGGGUAUUAAUCGCAGAGGUAAAACCACACGUUCACACAAAAACAUGUAGGUGAAUGUUCACUGUGCUUGUAAUUGUAGCACCCCCAAAAAAGACGGCCCAGGUGCCCUUGAGCAGGUGAACAGUUAAACUACGAGUGCUUGGGGCAGCACGCAGCAUCCCAGCAUGGACUGCCUACAUCAGUGCCUGUGUUCCCAGGUCAGAGCGUACUCUGAACUUGCCAGAUAUGACCCUAGGGGCAAAUAACCAUCCACAAAGACUUUUCCAAGGUACAAAAGAUUCAAAACCAUACACUGAAAGCAUACCACAUUCCUGAAAAUAUCGGCCCAGAAUGACCAACACCAAGACAGAGUCUAGCAAAAUUACUGGACUUUAAACAAACAAACAAAAAAUCCUUUGGACAUUUUGGAGAAAAAAGCACGUUAUUUAUAAGGGAAAGCAUUGUUAGGUUGUUAGACUUCUUGACAAAAAGACCUUAUGCUAGGACAUGAUAGAGUAGUAGCGUGUUUAAGAGAUUUGAAGAAAGAAAAUGUGCACCAAGGAUUUUAUAUCCAGAAAACUCAACUUAUUUUUUUUAAAGAUUUUAUUUAUUUGAUAGCGCACAAGUAGGGGGAGGGGCAGAGGGAGAGAGUGCCCGAUGUGGACUCAGUCCCAGGACCCUGGGAUCAUGACCUGAGCUGAAGAGCCAAAGGCAGACGUUUGACUGGCUGAGCCAUCCAGGUGCCCCCAGAAAAAUCAACUUUACAAUAUAAAUGGUACAGGGCCUUGUUAUCCACAUGGGAGAACCCCAAAUGCUGAGAACCUGCUCCCGGGAGCCCUUCCUGAGGAAUCUACUGGAAAAUGAGCUCUGACGGCUAGCGUGAUCACGACACAAUUUUCCUAGCAAUCAUUGUGCAACAUGUGCUGUUGGCUGUAGCGCCAAGACACAGUGAGGCUCCGGUGGAGAUGGCAUGGCACUUGGGUGUUUGCUCCGGCGGCUGUUGGAAAGGGCAAGGGAGGGUAGCAGAUGUGAGGAUCAUGUUUGUAGUGAUAACGCUCUGACACUGUUGGGGAAACCCAGGGAGUAGUUACAGGAUCUCCCAUGUCCUCCAUGUAGGGGAAAGGACACACAUGCACCCAGCGGACAGGUGCUUCCAGAAGAGCACUGUGAUCUUGGAUCCUCGUGGAAAGUACCAGGAGGCACCAUGGAUGUUUAAUAGCCAAACCGGGAAUGACAAUGCAGAUGCCCUUCAGCAAGUGAGCGCUUGGCCUGGGGUGGUGUCAGCCGACCUUGGAUCCUGCUCAGCCACAGAAAGGGCUCUAGAAACAGUGACUAGUCCAGUGUGGUGACCAUCCUUUGCCCCAUCUUGUGGUCUUGAAAUACGGUUAAUCACUACAAGGGACUCUUGGAAACACGGCUGACCCCAGGCGUGGGGUGUCUGUGAUGAAUCUGGGCAUUGCAUCAUGGCAAUCACCCCUGUGUUGAAAGUCCAGUAGGUCGCACCCCAAGACUCAGCAGUGACCUGAAGAGACCCACCCUCACACUGGCCCAAACUGGGACAGUUUGAUCUUCGAUGGGGACAAGGAUUGCAACGGAUUAAAACCCAUCAAAAUGUUUCAAAUUCCUAAAUUUCUAACGAUAUUUUGGAAAAAGCAAGGAAUGGACCACUUUUGGAAGAUGAGGAGAGCCAGUUCUCUGUUGAAAGCCGAUACAGCAAGAGAGAGAGGCAGAGACAUAGGCUGAGGGAGAAGCAGGCACC